ACUCAGGUCAUGCGCAGCGCAUGCGCAGCAUGCUGAAACACUGGGCUCAGCCAGGCGGGCAGGGAGGGCGGAAGAGACGUCAACAAUACAGCACCUAAGGCAUCCAAGGAACUCACUGCGAAUAAACACCUCGGGGCUGACAAAACAGCCUGCUUUCAGCUCAUGGAAACAACACUGAAAACCCCACACAAUCAUUACUCCUGCGAAGGUGGCAAGCGUGCAGGAUCCACGGUGACAACACCACUUUCAAAGCCCUGCAGUUUCCAACAGCUCCGUGCGAGCGACAGACACACUUGGGCCUCACCGCAGCUUCUGUGAAAGGCAGACAUGAUUUCAUCUAAUGAAUGGAUGGUAACAAAAUGAGCUCCAGGAAGCCUGCCUGCCUACUCUCUCCCCGAACCACACCCAGAGAAAUGGAAGCCUCCAACAGAAAAGGGCUGGGCAGGUCCCAACACCACCCUCAAAUGGAAAGAACGGAGAAAAGAAAGGGACGGAAGGACACCCCCCUCAACAGCUUCCCGUCUGCACGAGGGAACACUAGAAGGUGCAGUGGGAACGCCUUAGACCUCUGAUCUGCUAACAGGCCCGAUGGCCUCACUCUAACCAUCCAUUAACUAAGGAUGUGCACCAAGUUCAUUCCAUCAAACCUAUCAUCACUGCCCCACAAAGCCCCGGUCACCUGUUACACCCACUGUCAAUAACAACACCUCCUUUUCUCAACUCCGCAGGCCACUCAGAAAGGCAUCGUUCCAUACUGAGAACUUCAAAUUUCUACACAAAAAUAUUCUGUGUCUGUUUGCACUCGAUGGUGAUGAAUACCAGACAGCAUUGGGAACCUUCUGGGACCAAAUAUACUCAUAACUACGACAAUCAA